rnacentral:rRNA from 1 species
GUGGGGAAUAUUGGGCAAUGGGCGAAAGCCUGACCCAGCAACGCCGCGUGAAGGAAGAAGGUCUUCGGAUCGUAAACUUCUAUCCUUGGUGAAGAUAAUGACGGUAGCCGAGAAGGAAGCCCCGGCUAACUACGUGCCAGCAGCCGCGGUAAUACGUAGGGGGCAAGCGUUGUCCGGAAUGAUUGGGCGUAAAGGGCGCGUAGGCGGCCUGGUAAGUCUGGAGUGAAAGUCCUGCUUUUAAGGUGGGAAUUGCGUUGGAUACUGUCGGGCUUGAGUGCAGGAGAGGUAAGUGGAAUUCCCGGUGUAGCGGUGAAAUGCGUAGAGAUCGGGAGGAACACCAGUGGCGAAGGCGACUUACUGGACUGUAACUGACGCUGAGGCGCGAAAGUGUGGGGAGCAAACAGGAUUAGAUACCCUAGUAGUCC